rnacentral:lncRNA from 1 species
ACACCUGUAGUCCCAGCUACUCGGGAGGCUGAGGCAGGAGAAUGGCAUGAACCAGGGAGGCGGAGCUGGCAGUGAACUGAGACCGCACCACUGCACUCCAGCCUGGGUGACAGAGCAAGACUCCAUCUCAAAAAUAAUAAUAAUAAAUAAUAAUAAUAAUAAUAAUAAUAAUAAUAAUCCUUCCAGCUGGGCGCAGUGGCUCACGCCUGUAAUCCCAACAUUUUGGGAGGCCGAGAUGGGCGGAUCACCUGAGGUCAGGAGUUCAAGACCAGCCUGGCCAACAUGGUGAAACCCCAUCUCUACUAAAAUACAAAAAUUAGCCGGGCGUGGUGGCAUGUGCCUGUAGUCCCAGCUACUCGGGAGGCUGAGGCAGGAGAAUUGCUUGAACCCGGGAGGCGGAGGUUGCAGUGAGCCGAGAUCAUGCCACUGCACUCCACCCUGGGUGACAGAGCGAGACUCCGUCUACACACACACACACACACACACACACAUCCUUCCUCCUCUAACCCCAAACUAAGAUCACAGAAGGUGAUCCAGUCAGAGAACAGAGGGAAAUCUUACCAGGAAGGGCUUAAGUACACUUUUUUUUAAAACAGCUUUAUUGUUUUUAAAGCCUACAAUUUGAUAAGCCUUGACAUAUGUAUACCUGUGAAAGCAUCACCACAAUCAAGACACUGGACAUAUCUAUCACUCCCCCAUCUCAGAUAUCCCCCCUAAUCCUGGAUACCAUUUGUUGAAAGAUGUUAUUACUCUAGCUGAACUUACAAGAGACUUUAGACCAGGGAUCUAAAUUACAGUGGCCUUAGUGACCUUGUCCUUAUCUUCUUAGGACAGCUGAGAAGCCACUGGGACUUAGAGCCUUUAAAAGGAGAUUAACUGUCCCAAAAGGAUCUUUGCUACUGACCAGCAGACACUUCUUCCUUCAGUAGCCUUUCAUACUGUGUUGAGUAACACCCUAGGGUGUCCAUUAAAGUUUUGAGUUUUACCUAGAGCCCAGAGCCAUGAAUCAGGAUUCUGUCUACAUGAUUCGUGUUUUCAUUGGUGUCAAAAUACAAAAGCCAAAGUUCUGGCUAUGAAUUGUUAACUUGGAAGAAAUACUAACUGCCACCACUUAUUAAGUGCCUACUGUGUGCCAGGCUCUGAACUAGGUGCUUCAUAUACAUUAUCCUAAAUUAUCUCAACAUAUGAGGUAGGUGUUUUAAUUUUUAUUUUAUAGAACUUGGUGUGUUUGACUGUUAAGCUAUGGGGCUAGAGAGAGGGUUUGAUCCCAGGUCCCUCUGUGCUUUUGCUGCUGAGCCACACAACCUCUCAUUUCAAAAACACUUUCAAAAUGCUAACAUAUUCUAAUUCACUCUAGGCCACCAAAAACUUUAAUACUAAUAUCUGAUUUGUAAAUGACUUAAUGUAUCCUUGACCCUAUCAGCUGAAUUUAAUGAAAUAUUCCUCUCUGCUGUGAAAUUUUACCAGUAUAGUAUUUGGUCUAGUGACAGGUGUUCUAUUUUUUUGAGACGGGUCUCACUCUGUCACCCAGGCUGGAGUGCAGUGGC